rnacentral:misc_RNA from 1 species
AUAGCAAUUCUGUCAGCAAAAAAUGUCCUGCAAAACCUUGCAAGUAUCAAACUUUUUAAAACCCAUUAUCUCAUUUUUCAACAUUACAAUAAUUUUUCCCCAUUUUUGACCCAAUCUACUGCUUAAUCAACCUUAUUGCGUUGUGUGGCUUGGCUGCAAUCCAAAAUCUUACAGUUCUUUGGAAUCAUAUGCCUGCAAUAACCAAGAACUGAAGCGCAAGGCAGGCCAAAAUUGUAAUCUUUAGAUUAUUUUAUUCAAGCCUGCCAAGGUCAAGCAUCAUCUCAACAUGACUUUGCUCACUGUUAGUGGGAGUGGGAGCUACCUUGCUGUUUUUACUUUUUUUUUUUCUGAUUUCUUUCAUUUUU